AAUAAGUAUAAUCAUGGAUAUCCAUGCCCAACAUUUGACCGUCCGUUUUAUUUGAAAAAUUUAUGGAAAAUUUAAAAAUAUUUAGUUACACAUAAAAUAUUAUUCAUGUUUUAUCAUUUAAUAGCAAUAAAAAUACUAAUCAUAAAAAAAUUUCAAAUAAGACGAACGGUCAAACAUUGAACGUGAAUAGUGCAAAACUACACUUAUU
rnacentral:pre_miRNA from 1 species